GUUGGUUGAGACCUUGAAUAGAUGUAUGUUGUUGGUUAUCACUUGUGGUUGGAUUGGAGGUUUGUUGGCUUGUGAAUCCAAGUUGUACUUGGAUGGGAAAAGUAAGAAAUAGGGGAAAUGUUGCCCAAAUUUCUAUUACUUGUUCCUAUGAAUAUUAGUGAGAUACAAGGUUUGAUUUUGCGUUAGUUGGAUCUUAAGUUACAUAUGUAUCAAUGAAUGCACUUCAAUAGUAGUAUAUGAGUUAUUUUUGACCAAGAUUUGGUAUCAAUUAAAAUGAAAAGUGUUAGUUUUAUCUCGAAAACUUUGAAUUAUAUUUGCUCACUUCA
rnacentral:lncRNA from 1 species